CUGCAGCCUUGCCGCAGCUAUUCUCCUCUCUUCUUUUUCUUCUUCUUCUUCUUCUUCUUCUCUUCUCCCUCUUCUUCCUCCCUUCUUCUCCCCACGCUCCACCGCUCCUCUCUCUGUUCGAGAAACAGACCCACGCCCCACCGCUUCUCUCUCUGUUCGAGAAAAACUCGUGGGAGGCGGUGGGAUAAAACCGAAUUUUCGGUUUUCCUUUAUCUUUUUUUUUCUUUUUGCAACUUAACAGUUUAGUCCUUGAAAUUUCCAUAUUUACAUAUAGGUCCCCCGAUUUAUAAAUAAAUCUUUAUUAAUAAUUUUUCAAAAGUGAGGGAU
rnacentral:lncRNA from 1 species